rnacentral:rRNA from 1 species
UACGUAGGGUCCGAGCGUUGCCCGGAAUUAUUGGGCGUAAAGAGCUCGUAGGCGGUUUUGUCGCGUCUGCUGUGAAAUCCCGAGGCUCAACCUCGGGCCUGCAGUGGGUACGGGCAGACUGGAGUGCGGUAGGGGAGAAUGGAAUUCCUGGUGUAGCGGUGGAAUGCGCAGAUAUCAGGAGGAACACCGAUGGCGAAGGCAGUUCUCUGGGCCGUAACUGACGCUGAGGAGCGAAAGCGUGGGGAGCGAACAGG